UUCCCAGUCACGAUAACUCGGGGAACUGCCUAAAAAGUUUCGAUCCGGAGAUUUCCGAAUGGGGCAACCUGCCUGUUUUAACAGGCUUAGAGCAAACCCGCUGAACUGAAACAUCUAAGUAAGCAUCGUCAAGCCGAACCCUCUGGAAAGUGGGACCGUAGCAGGUGACAGUCCUGUAGGCGUACAUCGAUGUGGACGAGCGGUAUCCUGAGUAGGGCGGGACCGGAGAAAUCCUGCCUGAAUCUGCCGGCACCAUCCGGUAAGGCUAAAUACUCCUCAGAGACCGAUAGUGAACCAGUACCGUAAGGGAAAGGUGAAAAGCACCCCGAACAGGGGAGUGAAAUAGUACCUGAAACCGUGUGCCUACAAGCGGUCGGAGUCCCGCAAGGGAUGACGGCGUGCCUUUUGCAUAAUGAGCCUACGAGUUGCUCCUCACUGGCAAGGUUAAGUUCUCAAAUAACGGAGCCGUAGCGAAAGCGAGUCCGAACAGGGCGACUAGUCAGUGGGGGCAGACGCGAAACUUUGUGAUCUAUCCAUGGGCAGGUUGAAGUCCCGGUAACACGGGAUGGAGGACCGAACUCAUUAACGUUGAAAAGUUAUGGGAUGACCUGUGGAUAGGGGUGAAAGGCCAAUCAAACUGAGAGAUAGCUCGUUCUCCCCGAAAUGUUUUUAGGAACAGCCUCGGAUUAUAGACGUUUACCAGAGGUAGAGCUACUGAUUGGGCUAGGGGGCUUCACCGCCUACCAAACCCUGACAAACUCCGAAUGCUGGUAAAUAUCUCCGGGAGUGAGGCUGCGGGCGCUAAGGUCCGUGGCCGAGAGGGAAAUAACCCAGAUUAGCGACUAAGGUCCCCAAUACGUGGUUAAGUUGAUCAAACGAGGUGGGGUUUCUAUGACAGCCAGGAUGUUGGCUUGGAAGCAGCCAUUCAUUCAAAGAGUGCGUAACAGCUCACUGGUCGAGAGACCCUGCACGGAAAAUGAUCGGGCAUCAAAUCACGAACCGAAGUCCUAAGAUACGCCUAUGGCGCAUCGGUAGGGGAGCAUUCUGAUCCGCGUGAAGGUGUGUGGCGACGCAUGCUGGAGCGUUCAGAAAAGAAAAUGUAGGCAUAAGUAACGAUUAAUAAGGUGAAAAACCUUAUCGCCGUAAGUCUAAGGUUUCCUGAUCAACGUUAAUCGGAUCAGGGUCAGUCGGGUCCUUAGGCGAACCCGAAAGGGGUAGCUGAUGGCAAACUGGUCAACAUUCCAGUACCCGCUGCAGUUUCGAAGGGGUGACGAAGUAGUGAAAGGACCGCGAGGGCACGGUUUCCCUCGUUGAAGCACGUAGCUAUAUCCUGUAUCGGCAAAUCCGUACGGGAUGGCGAAAUGCGAUAGUACCACAAAGCCUCGGCAGCGUGGAUAGUGUCCCUAAAAACUUCCGAGAAAAACCUCUAAGGUUAGGCUGCAGCGGCCCGUACCGCAAACCGACACAGGUAGACGGGAUGAAUAUUCUAAGGCGCUCGGGUGAGCCGUGGAGAAGGAACUAGGCAAAUUGACGCUGUAACUUCGGGAUAAAGCGUACCUACUUCGGUAGGUCUCAGUAAAAUGGUUCAACCAACUGUUUAACAAAAACACAGGGCCCUGCAAAAUCGAAAGAUGACGUAUAGAGCCUGAUACCUGCCCGGUGCUGGAAGGUUAAGGAAGGGUGUUCGACGCAAGUCAAAGCUUCUGACUGAAGCCCCAGUAAACGGCGGCCGUAACUAUAACGGUCCUAAGGUAGCGAAAUUCCUUGUCGGGUAAGUUCCGACCUGCACGAAUGGUCU
rnacentral:rRNA from 1 species